rnacentral:rRNA from 1 species
GACGUAGGUGGCGAACGUUAUCCGGAAUCAUUGGGCGUAAAGGGUGCGUAGAUGGCAUGAUAAGUUAUUAGUGGGAAAUCGAGGCUCAACCUCGUGGAAGCUAGUAAUACUGUUUUGCUUGAGUACAGAAGAGGUUAACGGAACUCCAUGUGGAGCGGUAAAGUGCGUAGAUAUAUGGAAGAACACCAAUAGCGGCGAAGGCAGUUAACUAUUCUGUUACUGACAUUGAGGCACGGAAGCGUGGGGAGCAAAACGG